rnacentral:rRNA from 1 species
GACGUAGGGCGCGAGCGUUGUCCGGAUUUAUUGGGCGUAAAGAGCUCGUAGGCGGUUUGUCGCGUCGUCUGUGAAAACCCACGGCUCAACUGUGGGCUUGCAGUCGAUACGGGCAGGCUAGAGUUCGGUAGGGGAGACUGGAAUUCCUGGUGUAGCGGUGAAAUGCGUAGAUAUAUGGAAGAACACCUGUGGCGAAAGCGGUUUUCUAGCUCAACCCUGACGCUGAGGCACGAAAGCAAGGGGAGCAAACAGG